UACGUAGGACCCAAGCGUUAUCCGGAUUUACUGGGCGUAAAGAGUUGCGUAGGUGGCAAAGCAAGUUAGUAGUGAAAUCGUGUGGCUCAACCAUGCUCACAUUACUAAAACUGCUUAGCUUGAAGAUGAGAGAGGUCACUGGAAUUCCUUGUGUAGGAGUGAAAUCCGUAGAUAUAAGGAGGAACACCGAUGGCGUAGGCAGGUGACUGGCUCAUUCUUGACACUAAGGCACGAAAGCGUGGGGAGCAAACGGG
rnacentral:rRNA from 1 species